ACGAUGACCUCCCAGGCAACCAAGUGACGUCAACAACGUCGAGGAAACGUCAGUAUUUGGUGGAAUAUAUACACAUGGUUGAACAUUACGUCAUAUCGACGUCUUUUUUAGGUGAUUUUAAAUACGUAAGAUUAAUGACGUUAAAAUACGUUUAAAAGACGUUUUUAUUUCAGCCAGCCUAAGUCUGACGUCACGAAAUUGGGAGGAGCUUGGAGCUUAAAAGUUACAAAACUAAGGUUAUGUUUGUAGCGUUGUCGUUUGUUUGUCCUAGUAUUUUGCUCAUUUGGAUUUUUGUUGGCUGUUUUGUGUGUGUUGUUUUAAACUUUUGUUUGUCAUUUGUAAAUUUUAUAAAUUUACCACAAUGCAAAGUGAUUAUUUAAGGAAAUUAUUAUUGGAAACUACGCAGAUGUUUUAGAAAGAUAUUCAUUGAAGCUGAAAAUAAUUGGAGAUUUAGAUCCAUAUACAAUUCAGUCAUCAGAAUUGGAUUUUACAGUGCAUUCCAUCAAUUACUGUUAGAUAGACAAUGCUAUUAUAGAUAGACUGGUAGAGUCUCACAGUUACUACUUUAAGCAGCAGAUGAAAGCAUACAAAGCCUUCAGGCUCAUAAAAGCCUUCACAACUGGAUUUGUUUUGAAACAUUUGAUGUUUUGAUAUGACUUCUAUAUUAUUGUUGGAAAGGUAAGUCUUUAUUUUAUUUAUUCACCAUCAAAAAUAUAUAGAUAACAGUAUUAGUGUCUUUCGGAUAAAUGGGUUUUAAAUAUUAGAUUUAUUUACGUUUAUAUAUCUGUAUGAAACCAGACAUAUUGUCGUCCUAAUUUGUAAACUGUGUAACUCCAUAUUUCUCUGAAAAUGAGUUAUUACUGCCAUUUAUUUGAAAAACUCCCUACUCGUUUAAAAAAGGAUGCACAUGCAUAUUUUUACCAGAAGAGUAAAUAGUGUCAUCUUUGUAUACACUGAUCUCCCUUUGCAGCAAAGUUAGUACCAAAAAUAUGUAACUCCCCAGUUUGUCAUACCACAUGAUUGACCUCACUGUUUAGAAAGUGAUAUUUUCAAGAAAGAGUUGGUGGUAAAUAAUAUUAAUACACUCAUUAAACAAUAUAGGUACAAAUGUUAGUAUCUAUCUAUAAAAUAUUCCAUUUGAGCAUUCUAUCUUUUAAAAUGGGAGAUACGUAGUAUUCGCAUUAGUCAUAUUUAGAGAAAUAAUUUUUUGUGCCUCUGUAAAAUUUGGAUAAAUGAAGUUACACAGUUUACAGAUUAGGUCGACGACAUGUAAUUGCUAUGAUAGAAAAGAGAAUAAUAAACAGUCAUGCUUGUUUGUUCUAAAAUUAUAUUAUAUUAAUGUCUGAUUUUAAA
rnacentral:lncRNA from 1 species